rnacentral:rRNA from 1 species
AAAAUAAUAAUUAAGAACUCGGCAAACUUAAUUUUCGGCUGUUUAUCAAAAACAUUUCUGUGAGAAAUAUAUUUUUGGUAUCACCUGCUCAAUGCUUUUUAGUAAAUAGCUGCAGUAUUUUGACUGUACAAAGGUAGCAUAGUCAUUAGUCUUUUUAUUGGAGGCUUGUAUGAAUGGUGGAACGUAAAAUUAACUUUUUUAUUUUUAUGAAUUUUGAAUUUAAUUUUUAAGUAAAAAAGCUUAAUUAAUUAAGAGGGACGAUAAGACCCUAUAGAAUUUGAAAAUGAAUUUGGUAAAGUUAUUUUUUGGUUGGGGUGACUAGAAAGUAACUUUUCUUUUUUUAUUACUGAUGAGUAAUUUAAGGAUCUUAAAAUUUAGAUAAAAAGAUUAAAUUACCUUAGGGAUAACAGCAUAAUUUUUCUUUAAAGAUCAUAUUUGUAGAAAAGAUUAUGACCUCGAUGUUGAAUUAAAAUUAUAUUUAGGUGUAGAUAUUUAAGUAUUAAGUCUGUUCGACUUUCAAUUUUUACAUGAUUUGAGUUCAAACCGGCGUGAGCCAGGUUGGUUUCUAUCUUCUUAUUUAAUUUUAAUUUAGUACGAAAGGAUUGAUUAAA